rnacentral:rRNA from 1 species
UCGAACGAGCGAGAGAGAGCUUGCUUUCUCGAGCGAGUGGCGAACGGGUGAGUAACGCGUGAGGAACCUGCCUCAAAGAGGGGGACAACAGUUGGAAACGACUGCUAAUACCGCAUAAGCCCACGGUGCCGCAUGGCACAGAGGGAAAAGGAGCAAUCCGCUUUGAGAUGGCCUCGCGUCCGAUUAGCUAGUUGGUGAGGUAACGGCCCACCAAGGCGACGAUCGGUAGCCGGACUGAGAGGUUGAACGGCCACAUUGGGACUGAGACACGGCCCAGACUCCUACGGGAGGCAGCAGUGGGGAAUAUUGCACAAUGGGGGAAACCCUGAUGCAGCGACGCCGCGUGGAGGAAGAAGGUCUUCGGAUUGUAAACUCCUGUUGUUGGGGAAGAUAAUGACGGUACCCAACAAGGAAGUGACGGCUAACUACGUGCCAGCAGCCGCGGUAAAACGUAGGUCACAAGCGUUGUCCGGAAUUACUGGGUGUAAAGGGAGCGCAGGCGGGAAGACAAGUUGGAAGUGAAAUCU